GAAGGUAACAGUGUUCCAUGCACCUUUGAAGGCGUUUAGUCAUGCCAGCCACAUGACCACGGAGACGUCUUCGGACAGCGCUGGCUCUUCGGCUUUGUAACGGAGAUGAGCACCGCCUCCGAGAGCUGGAAACGACUUGCAAGGAUGUGCAAGGAGGGGAAUCUUUACCUUUACUUUACAACGGAGGGA